rnacentral:lncRNA from 1 species
UAUAGAUGUCAAAGUCUGACGCAAAAUACGAAGGGGCCCAAUAAACCCGGGCGGAGGUAGUACUUCUGCUACACUUAAGGUACCUCACGCCAUCUAGAGAGAAAGGAUAAGAGGGAGACCCAAGCACCAAGGUUCCCUCACCUUCGCAGGUUGCUCCGGUCGGCGGGAGGGACCAGGACCUUGCUCCGUGUGCAUACAACAGUAGUUUUAUUUUGUUCAAUUAGGGGUUUUGGCUGCCCAUGGCUUCAGCUCUGGCUGUGGCUAUGCCGGAGACGAAUAAGGUUUCUCCAGAUCUCAACAUGGUGGCUCUCUGCUGUUGGUGUUGGAUCCGGGCAGGGGCGUUGUCCCUGUUGAUGGAAUGGCAGUCGUAUUCGCCAUGUCCAGCCCUUCUCAUCCUCUUCUCUUGAGUGACGAUCCAAUCUCGAAUGGUUGUUCUGGCAUAGCAUGGUGACUUACUGGCUGUUGAUUUAAGUCUUGGUGGCUCCACAGGUGAUGCGGAGUUCCAGUUGUGGCAUGGCUCACAGCGCGCCACCGCCAUGUGCAAGAGGAAGAUGGCGUUGGCUUCCCCAAGGAUCCGGUUGUACUUUCUACUUACUUUUGGAGUGUCCUUAAAGGGUUGGAUUCUUUUAAUACAUGGCAAAUUGGCCUUCGCAAAAAAAAAUUUAUCAUCCUGCUCCAUUGCCUGCACUAUGUUCCUGAUCGGCUGAUUGUGAACGCCAUCAUCCCUUCUUCAUUAAGUUGCUAUAUAUUUAAAGGUUGCAACACUUCACAAUACAUAUUAAGAACAUGAUAAAAAAACAAUACAUAAUUUAAAGGUUGCAACACUCCACUCAAUGUAUUUAAAGGUUGCAACACUUCACAAUACAAAAUGGCAAAUCAUCAUGAAUCAAACAUUUGUCAUACGAUCUGUUCUUUAUCAUGUUCUUCAUAUUACCAAUGGGUAUGCUAUCUAACUUAUAAAGGAUGAAGGGGUAGGUAGUCACAACGAAGGCAUCGAGCGCACGGUACCACGCGAGGGAAAAAAGA